rnacentral:lncRNA from 1 species
UUGUCCCUAGGGUUAUAAAAAGAGAUGUCCUGGCCUGGAGGAGCUUACAGACGUGGGGAACAAGAGGACAAGCAGCCUGUGCAUACAGGGGAGCAAGUGAGGCCUGUGUUAUUCAAUGAAGAUAAAGUUUUAAAAUCCUAAAAUCCUGACAAGAGACUUGUAUAAUGGCUGACUAUGGAGUCACGAAUUUAGACCCUAAAAGAAAUUUUGGGUGUUCAGUGGCAGAGAGAGAAAGA